GAACGCUGAAGGAGGAGCUUGCUUCUCUGGAUGAGUUGCGAACGGGUGAGUAACGCGUAGGUAACCUGCCUGGUAGCGGGGGAUAACUAUUGGAAACGAUAGCUAAUACCGCAUAAUAGCAGUUGCUGCAUGACAACUGUUUAAAAGGUGCAAUUGCAUCACUACCAGAUGGACCUGCGUUGUAUUAGCUAGUUGGUGGGGUAACGGCUCACCAAGGCGACGAUACAUAGCCGACCUGAGAGGGUGAUCGGCCACACUGGGACUGAGACACGGCCCAGACUCCUACGGGAGGCAGCAGUAGGGAAUCUUCGGCAAUGGACGGAAGUCUGACCGAGCAACGCCGCGUGAGUGAAGAAGGUUUUCGGAUCGUAAAGCUCUGUUGUAAGAGAAGAACGAGUGUGAGAGUGGAAAGUUCACACUGUGACGGUAUCUUACCAGAAAGGGACGGCUAACUACGUGCCAGCAGCCGCGGUAAUACGUAGGUCCCGAGCGUUGUCCGGAUUUAUUGGGCGUAAAGCGAGCGCAGGCGGUUAGAUAAGUCUGAAGUUAAAGGCUGUGGCUUAACCAUAGUACGCUUUGGAAACUGUUUAACUUGAGUGCAAGAGGGGAGAGUGGAAUUCCAUGUGUAGCGGUGAAAUGCGUAGAUAUAUGGAGGAACACCGGUGGCGAAAGCGGCUCUCUGGCUUGUAACUGACGCUGAGGCUCGAAAGCGUGGGGAGCAAACAGGAUUAGAUAACCUGGUAGUCCACGCCGUAAACGAUGAGUGCUAGGUGUUAGACCCUUUCCGGGGUUUAGUGCCGUAGCUAACGCAUUAAGCACUC
rnacentral:rRNA from 1 species